rnacentral:rRNA from 1 species
GGUUCGAUCAUGGCUCAGAUUGAACGCUGGCGGGAUGCUUUACAUGCAAGUCGAACGGCAGCACGGACUUCGGUCUGGUGGCGAGUGGCGAACAGGUGAGUAAUGUAUCGGAACGUGCCUAGUAGCGGGGGAUAACUACGCGAAAGCGCUAAUACCGCAUACGCCCUUCGAGGGAAGCGGGGGACCUUCGGGCCUCGCACUAUUAGAGCCGGCCGAUAUCGGAUUAGCUGGUUGGUGGGGUAACGGCUCACCAAGGCGACGAUCCGUAGCUGGUUUGAGAGGACGACCAGCCACACUGGGACUGGGACUGGCCGAACUCCUGCAGGAGGCAGCAGUGGGGAAUUUUGGACAAUGGAAACCCCUGGUCAGCGCUCGCGUGUGCGAUGAAGGCCUUCGGGUUGUAAAGCACUUUUGGCAGGAAAGAAACGGCACGGGAUAAUACCCCGUGCAACUGACAGUACCUGCAGAAUAAGCACCGGCCUAACUACGUGCCAGCAGCCGCGGUAAUACGUAAGUGCAAGCGUUAAUCGGAAUUACUGGGCGUAAAGCGUGCGCAGGCGGUUCGGAAAGAAGAUGUGAAAUCCCAGAGCUUAACUUUGGAACUGCAUUUUUAACUACCGAGCUAGAGUGUGUCAGAGGGAGGUGGAAUUCCGCGAUGUAGCGGUGAAAUGCGUGAAAUAUGCGGAGGAACACCGAUGCUUGAGGCAGCCUCCUGGGAUAACACUGACGCUCAUGCACGAAAGCGUGGGAGCAAACAGGAUUAGAUACCCUGGUAGUCCACUCCCUAAACGAUGUCAACUAAGCUGUUGGGGCCUUCGGGCCUUGGUAGCGCAGCUAACGCGUGAAGUUGACCGCCUGGGAAGUACGGUCGCAAGAUUAAAACUCAAAGGAAUUGACGAGGACCCGCAAGCGGUGGAUGAUGUGGAUUAAUUCGAUGCAACGCGAAAAGCCUUACCUACCCUUGACAUAUCUGGAAUCCCGAAGAGAUUUGGGAGUGCUCGCAAGAGAACCGGAACACAGGUGCUGCAUGGCUGUCGUCAGCUCGUGUCGUGAGAUGUGGGUUAAGUCCCGCAACGAGCGCAGCCACUUGUCAUUAGUUGCUACGAAAGGGCACUCUAAUGAGACUGCCGGUGACAAACCGGAGGAAGGUGGGGAUGACGUCAAGUCCUCAUGGCCCUUAUGGGUAGAGCUACACGUCAUACAAUGGUCGGGACAGAGGGUCGCCAACCCGCGAGGAGCCAAUCCCAGAAACCCGAUCGUAGUCCGGAUCGCAGUCUGCAACUCGACUGCGUGAAGUCGGAAUCGCUAGUAAUCGCGGAUCAGCAUGUCGCGGUGAAUACGUUCCGGGUCUUGUACACACCGCCCGUCACACCAUGGGAGUGGGUUUUACCAGAGUAGUUAGCCUAACCGUAAGGAGGGCGAUUACCACGGUAGGAUUCAUGACUGGGGUGAAGUCGCCAACAAGGGUAACUCUAUUUACA